UAUGGCCAUAUCACGUUGAAAUACCUGUUCCCGUACGAUCACCGGUUAAGCAAUGCCAAGCCUGGUCAGUACCUAGAUGGGUGACCGCUUGGGAAUACCAGGUGCUGUAAG
rnacentral:rRNA from 1 species